CCUACGGGAGGCAGCAGUGGGGAAUUUUGGACAAUGGGCGCAAGCCUGAUCCAGCAAUGCCGCGUGCAGGAUGAAGGCCUUCGGGUUGUAAACUGCUUUUGUACGGAACGAAACGGUCCUUUCUAAUACAAGGGGCUAAUGACGGUACCGUAAGAAUAAGCACCGGCUAACUACGUGCCAGCAGCCGCGGUAAUACGUAGGGUGCGAGCGUUAAUCGGAAUUACUGGGCGUAAAGCGUGCGCAGGCGGUUAUAUAAGACAGAUGUGAAAUCCCCGGGCUCAACCUGGGACCUGCAUUUGUGACUGUAUAGCUAGAGUACGGUAGAGGGGGAUGGAAUUCCGCGUGUAGCAGUGAAAUGCGUAGAUAUGCGGAGGAACACCGAUGGCGAAGGCAAUCCCCUGGACCUGUACUGACGCUCAUGCACGAAAGCGUGGGGAGCAAACAGGAUUAGAUACCCUGGUAGUCCACGCCCUAAACGAUGUCAACUGGUUGUUGGGUCUUCACUGACUCAGUAACGAAGCUAACGCGUGAAGUUGACCGCCUGGGGAUCGGCCGCAAGGUUGAAACUCAAAGGAAUUGACCGGNUGAGACGNGCGAGACGACGACGAGGGAGGAGG
rnacentral:rRNA from 1 species